CAGCCGCCGCGGGAAUACAGAGGGUGCGAGCGUUAAUCGGAUUUACUGGGCGUAAAGCGUGCGUAGGCGGCUUCUUAAGUCGGAUGUGAAAUCCCUGAGCUUAACUUAGGAAUUGCAUUCGAUACUGGGAAGCUAGAGUAUGGGAGAGGAUGGUAGAAUUCCAGGUGUAGCGGUGAAAUGCGUAGAGAUCUGGAGGAAUACCGAUGGCGAAGGCAGCCAUCUGGCCUAAUACUGACGCUGAGGUACGAAAGCAUGGGGAGCAAACAGGAUUAGAUACCCGGGAGUCCCUGUCUCUUAUACA
rnacentral:rRNA from 1 species